CCUAUUUAACCUCACACCAGCUCAGUGGGGAGACAAGGUCAUUCUCUCCUAAUAGAUGAGGAAACUGAGGCUCAUAUCAGACACAUAGUUUCUAUUGGCCAGGAUUUGGUAGCAGAUAAGCCUUUGGCUUGGAGUCUCUCAUGACUGCUGUCAGUUGAGAGGUCAGCUGGGACUACAGUCAUCUGAGGAUCUGCUUCCACUGUGGCUUAUUAACAUCAUGGUUCAGGUUAAGGAGGAAGAAGAGGCAAGAGCAACCCCUGGACCAACUAAAGCCUGAGUUUUGCUGCAUCCCCACGAUCAGCGCCUACAUCCCACCACCACUGCCACCAUGCCCAAGAGAAAGGCUGAGGGGGAUGCUAAGGGAGAUAAAGUGAAGGCAAAGGAUGAACCCCAGAGAAAGAUCUGCAAGGUUAUCUGCUAAACCUGCUCGUCCAAAGCCAGAGCCCAAGACUAAAAAGGCCCCUGCAAGGAAGGGAGAGAAGGUCCCCAAAGGGAAAAAGGGAAAAGCUGACACUGGCAAGGAGGGAAUAACCCUGCAUAAAAUGGAGAUGCCAACACAGACCGGGCACAGAAAGCUGCAGGUGCUGGAGACGCCAAGUGAAGUGUGUGCAUUUUUGUGAUAACUGCGGACUUCUGGUGACUGUACAGUUUGAAAUACUAUUUUUUUUUAUCAAGUUUUAUAAAAAUGCAGAAUUUUGUUUUACUUUUUUUUUUGAAACAGAGCCUCAAGCUGUCACCCUGGGGAUAGUGCUGUGGCAACACAGCUCACAGCAACCUCUAACUCCUGGGCUCAAGCAAUUCUCUUGCCUCAGCCUCCCAAGUAGCUGGGACUGCAGGCACCCGCCACAAUGCCUGGCUAUUUUUUUUUUUUUUUUUGGUUGUAGUUAUCAUUGUUGUUUGGCAGGCCUGGGCUGGAUUUGAACCCACCGUCUCUGGUAUUUGUGGCUGGCACCUUAGCCACUUGAGCUAUAGGCGCUGAACCUUUACUUUUUUUUUUUUUUUUUUAAGCUAUGUUGUUAGCAUACAGAACACUUCAUUGUUUGGGGGGGAAGGGGCAUAUGUCACAAACAGAAUGUCUCCAAAGCUAGAUUGAUAUGAAGGAAAAUGUCUUUUUCCUCUAGUUUUGAGCGACUUCCUCUUGGCUGCCAAGAGGAGGGAUUCCCUGAUGUUGACACACAGCCACCUUGGCACAAAUGCUUUGUGGUAUGAAAAAACUAAUUUGUUUUUAUGUCCUAUUCGCUCUCUGCCUUCUGCCUAAUCUUAACUCCCUUAAAUCCAGUCACCUCUUGGGAUCUGACCUCCAAUAAUUGUAUGUCAAGAAAUCUGGACUUUUCCAAUAACACCACUGAGAUGGCAGCCCUCAAAAGAGCAGUGGUUCCAUUUACAGAUUGCUGGAUCUUCAGAUAAAUUCUGCCAUUUUCAUUUCAUUUCCUGAAAGUCAGGGUUGGCUUGUGAAAAGUUGUUAAACAACAUGCUAAAUGUGAAAUAUCAACCCUUCUCUGAACUUCUCUGUUCAAAGCAUCAAAUGAAGAUUUCACUGGGUUUUAUAGUGGCUUUCUGAUUUUUAGUAGACCAUUGAAGAAGGGAGUUUGAAUGUUGUUGUGUACUGUUAAUGAUUAUCUUUCUGUGUCCUGCCUGAAAUAUAAUGAUUAUUUAUGAA